rnacentral:rRNA from 1 species
UACGUAGGGGGCAAGCGUUGUCCGGAUUUACUGGGCGUAAAGGGCGCGUAGGCGGCGGGGUAAGUCGGGUGUGAAAUCUCAGGGCUCAACCCUGAAACUGCACUUGAUACUGCUCUGCUUGAGGGCUGGAGAGGAGACUGGAAUUCACGGUGUAGCAGUGAAAUGCGUAGAUAUCGUGAGGAAGACCAGUGGCGAAGGCGGGUCUCUGGACAGUUCCUGACGCUGAGGCGCGAAGGCCAGGGGAGCAAACGGG